GGUCGCUUAGCUCAGCUGGUAGAGCGCCACCCUUACAAGGUGGAUGUCGCAGGUUCGAUCCCUACAGCGACCA
rnacentral:tRNA from 2 species